rnacentral:rRNA from 1 species
GCAAGUCGAAUGAAUUUAGAUUCAUGGCAGACGAGGUAGGAACACGUGGGUACGUGCCCUAGAGUCAAGGAUACACCGGUGAAAAUCGGCAUAAUACUUGAUAGUCCCUUCGGGGUAAAGAUUUAUCGCUCUAGGAACGGCCCGCGGUCUAUCAGCUUGUUGGUAAGGUAACGGCUUACCAAGGCUACGACGGAUAGGGGAGGUGAGAGCCUGACC